rnacentral:lncRNA from 1 species
AUAGCCCAAGAAGAGAGCACAGGCGCUUGGGGAAGUCAGAGGGCAGCAAGAUGGUGGGAGUGAGGGAAGUGUCAACAGAAAUAGUGGAACUCUGUAAAUAUUUGAAGAGAUUUAUUUUGAGCCAAAUAUGAGUGACCAUGGCCCAUGACACAGCCCUCAGGAGGUCCCAAGAACAUGUGCCCAAGGUGGUCAGGGUACAGCUUGGUUUUAUACAUUUUAGACAGGCAUGAGACAUCAAUCAAAUGCAUUUAAGAAAUGCAUUGGUUUGGUCCUGAAAGGCAGAACAACUCAAAACCAGGGGCAGGGUGGCAGGGUGGCGGGGCGGGGGGGCGCGGGGGGGGGGAAGGGUGAGGUGGGGCUUCCAGGCUAUAGGUUAAUUCAAACAUUUUCUGGUUGACAACUGGUUGAGUUUGUCUAAAGACCUGGGAUUGAUAGAAAGGGAAUGUUCAGGUUAAGAUUGCGGAGACAAAAGUCUUAUAAGUGGCUGCCCUUAGAGACAAUAGAUGACCGAUGUUUCCUAUUCAGAUCUUAGUUAGUAUCUUUAGGAUUGGGAGAGUCUGUAAGAUAAAGAUCUAGCUAUGUUAAUAGAGAUUCCUUACAGAUGCUAAUUUCCCCCCACAAAGAACAGCUUUGCAGGGCCAUUUCAAAAUAUGGCAAAUAAACAUAUUUGGGGGUAAAAUAUUUUGAUUUUCUUCCUUGUCUCAUAAGGUUAUACCAGAGUGAGGCUGGAAAAUAAGUCAUGAUAUGUAGGGUUAAAUAAAACCCAUCUGAUAAAAAUUUAUGACUUGUAGGGCAUGACUCCCCAGACCCCUUAGAUAGGAAUGUGGGCAAGAUUUAAAAAAAAAAAAAUCCUCUCCCUUUCCCUCUCCCUCUCCCCUCUUUCCACGGUCUCCCUCUGAUGCCGAGCCGAAGCUGGACUGUACUGCUGCCAUCUCGGCUCAUUGCAACCUCCCUGCCUGAUUCUCCUGCCUCAGCCUGCCUAGUGCCUGCAAUUGCAGGCGCGCACCGCCACGCCUGACUGGUUUUCGUAUUUUUUGGGUGGAGACGGGGUUUCGCUGUGUUGGCCGGGCUGGUCUCCAGCUCCUAACCGUGAGUGAUCCGCCAGCCUCGGCCUCCCGAGGUGCUGGGAUUGCAGACGGAGUCUCCUUCACUCAGUGCUCAAUGGUGCCCAGGCUGGAGUGCAGUGGCGUGAUCUCGGCUCGCUACAACAUCCACCUCCCAGCAGCCUGCCUUGGCCUCCCAAAGUGCCGAGAGUGCAGCCUCUGCCCCGCCGCCACCCCGUCUGGGAAGUGAGGAGCGUCUCUGCCUGGCCGCCCAUCGUCUGGGAUGUGAGGAGCCCCUCUGCCUGGCUGCCCAGUCUGGAAAGUGAGGAGCGUCUCUGCCCAGCCGCCACCCCAUCUAGGAAGUGAGGAGCGCCUCUUCCCAGCCGCCAUCCCAUCUAGGAAGUGAGGAGCGUCUCUGCCCGGCCGCCCCGUCUAAGUGAGGAGACCCUCUGCCUGGCAACCGCCCUGUCUGAGAAGUGAGGAGCCCCUCCGCCCAGCAGCCGCCCCGUCUGAGAAGUGAGGAGCCCCUCCGCCCGGCAGCCACCCCGUCUGGGAAGUGAGGAGCGUCUCCGCCCGGCAGCCACCCCAUCCGGGAGGGAGGUGGGGGGGUCAGCCCCCCGCCCGGCCAGCCGCCCCAUCCGGGAGGUGAGGGGCGCCUCUGCCCAGCCGCCCCUACUGGGAAGUGAGGAGCCCCUCUGCCCGGCCAGCCGCCCCGUCCGGGAGGGAGGUGGGGGGGUCAGCCCCCCGCCCGGCCAGCCGCCCCGUCUGGGAGGGAGGUGGGGGGGGUCAGCCCCCCGCCCGGCCAGCCGCCCCAUCCGGGAGGUGAGGGGCGCCUCUGCCCGGCCGCCCCUACUGGGAAGUGAGGAGCCCCUCUGCCCGGCCAGCUGCCCCGUCUGGGAGGGAGGUGGGGGGGGGUCAGCCCCCCGCCUGGCCAGCCGCCCCGUCCCGGAGGGAGGGGGGGUCAGCCCCCCGCCCGGCCAACCACCCCAUCCGGGAGGUGAGGGGCGCCUCUACCCGGCCGCCCCUACUGGGAAGUGAGGAGCCCCUCUGCCCGGCCACCACCCCGUCUGGGAGGUGUAUCCAACAGCUCAUUGAGAACGGGCCAUGAUGACAAUGGCAAUUUUGUGGAAUAGAAAGGGGGGAAACGUGGGGAAAAGAUUGAGAAAUCGGAUGGUUGCCGUGUCUGUGUAGAAAGAGGUAGACAUGGGAGACUUUUCAUUUUGUUCUGUACUAAGAAAAAUUCUUCUGCCUUGGGAUCCUGUUGAUCUGUGACCUUACCCCCAACCCUGUGCUCUCUGAAACAUGUGCUGUGUCCACUCAGGGUUAAAUGGAUUAAGGGCGGUGCAAGAUGUGCUUUGUUAAACAGACGCUUGAAGGCAGCAUGCUCGUUAAGAGUCAUCACCACUCCCUAAUCUCAAGUACCCAGGGACACAAACACUGCGGAAGGCCGCAGGGUCCUCUGCCUAGGAAAACCAGAGACCUUUGUUCACUUGUUUAUCUGCUGACCUUCCCUCCACUAUUGUCCUGUGACCCUGCCAAAUCCCCCUCUGCGAGAAACACCCAAGAAUGAUCAAUAAAUAAAUAAAUAAAUAAAUAAAUAAAUAAAUAAAUAAAUCAGAGUUUAGUCCUCAGAAGGAAGAACAAAGGAUAAGGGAGGAAAGGAGGUCAAAGACUACCUAUACCGGUUUUCCUUGAACAAAUGCCAUGAGG